GACGAACGCUGGCGGCGUGCCUAACACAUGCAAGUCGAGCGGAAAUAAUUAAAGUUUACUUUGAUUAUUUUAGCGGCGGACGGGUGAGUAACACGUGGGCAACCUGCCCUUGAGAGGGGGAUAACACAGAGAAAUUUGUGCUAAUACCGCAUAACAUUUAGACAUCGCCUGGAGUUUCAAUCAAAGGAGAAAUCCGCUCAAGGAUGGGCCCGCGGCGCAUUAGCUAGUUGGUGAGGUAAUGGCUCACCAAGGCGACGAUGCGUAGCCGACCUGAGAGGGUGAUCGGCCACAUUGGAACCGAGAUACGGUCCAGACUCCUACGGGAGGCAGCAGUGGGGAAUAUUGCGCAAUGGGGGAAACCCUGACGCAGCAACGCCGCGUGAGCGAUGAAGGCCUUCGGGUUGUAAAGCUCUGUCUUUGGGGACGAUAAUGACGGUACCCAAGGAGGAAGCCACGGCUAACUACGUGCCAGCAGCCGCCGCGGUAA
rnacentral:rRNA from 1 species